CCAACUAAGUUUGUUCUGGGUAUAAGCUUUCGUGUGCAUGCACACUUCUGCAUGCACUGUAUCUGAAGAAGUGUGCAUGCACAUGAAAGCUUAUACCCAGAACAAACUUAGUUGG